rnacentral:tRNA from 1 species
GACUCUGUGGUGUAGUUGAUAGCUCGCUCAUCUGAUAAUCGGGAGUCGUAAGUUGGAAUCCUACCCGGGUCU